rnacentral:rRNA from 1 species
GGAAACGCCCGGUCCCAUUCCGAACCCGGAAGCUAAGACCCACAGCGCCGAUGGUACUGCACCCGGGAGGGUGUGGGAGAGUAGGACACCGCCGGAC